GUUAGGAAUAUUGGACAAUGGGCGAAAGCCUGAUCCAGCCAUGCCGCGUGAACGAUGAAGGCCUUCGGGUUGUAAAGUUCUUUAGCCGAUGAUUAUAAUGACUGUAGUCGGAAAAUAAGCCCCGGCUAACUUCGUGUCAGCAGCCGCGGUAAUACGAAGGGGGCGAGCGUUAUUCGGAAUCACUGGGCGUAAAGCGUGCGUAGGCGGCUUUGCAAGUUGGGAGUGAAAGCCCAGGGCUCAACCCUGGAAUUGCUCUCAAAACUGCAAGGCUCGAAUUCGGGAGAGGAUAGCGGAAUUGUCAGUGUAGCAGUGAAAUGCGUAGAUAUUGACAGGAACACCAGUGGCGUAAGCGGCUAUCUGGACCGAUAUUGACGCUGAGGCACGAAAGCGUGGGGAUCAAACAGGAUUAGAAACCCGUGUAGUCC
rnacentral:rRNA from 1 species